CGAACCGUGAAAGCGUGGCCUA
rnacentral:snRNA from 1 species